rnacentral:rRNA from 1 species
CCUACGGGAGGCAGCAGUGGGGAAUAUUGGACAAUGGGCGAAAGCCUGAUCCAGCCAUGCCGCGUGUGUGAAGAAGGCCUUCGGGUUGUAAAGCACUUUCAGUGGGGAAGAAAGCCUUGGGGCUAAUACCCUCGAGGAAGGACAUCACCCACAGAAGAAGCACCGGCUAACUCCGUGCCAGCAGCCGCGGUAAUACGGAGGGUGCGAGCGUUAAUCGGAAUUACUGGGCGUAAAGCGCGCGUAGGCGGUCUGAUAAGCCGGUUGUGAAAGCCCCGGGCUCAACCUGGGAACGGCAUCCGGAACUGUCAGGCUAGAGUGCAGGAGAGGAAGGUAGAAUGCACGGUGUAGCGGUGAAAUGCGUAGAGAUCGGGAGGAAUACCAGUGGCGAAGGCGGCCUUCUGGACUGACACUGACGCUGAGGUGCGAAAGCGUGGGUAGCAAACAGGAUUAGAUACCCUAGUAGUC